CAGAGUUGCAAAACUCCCUAAACCAUUGUGAACGCUACCUCUAAACCGUUGCUUCGGCGGGCGGCCAGGGCUCCCGGCGCCCUCGGCCCUCGCGGGCGCCCGCCGGAGGAUAACCAAACUCUUGACAUUAGUGGCCUCUCUGAGUAUUCUGUACUGAAUAAGUCA
rnacentral:misc_RNA from 1 species